rnacentral:tRNA from 1 species
GCGGAGAGGUGGCCGAGUGGCUGAAGGCACUCCCCUGCUAAGGGAGCAUAGGGUUUAUAGCUCUAUCGAGAGUUCGAAUCUCUUCCUCUCCGCC